CAAUUAAUGAAAUUGUAAAUUGCUUCUCCAGUCGUCUUCGAGGCGGAUCGGCCUGUCCUGCGCCAACUGCCAGACCAGCACUACAACACUGUGGCGCCGAAACGCAGACGGAGAGCCCGUGUGCAACGCGUGUGGACUUUACACAAAGUUACACGGGGUGCCUAGGCCCCUUGCCAUGAAAAAAGAAGGUAUUCAGACAAGGAAAAGAAAACCAAAAACCUUGAACAAAACAAAGGGAUCAUCUGGAAGUAGUUCUGUCCCAAUGACUCCAACGUCUUCAUCGUCUUCUAAUUCAGAAGAGUGCACAAAGAACAGUCCUUCAUCAACACAGGUCAACUCUUCGAUGCUGGUGGGCCAAGCUGAUGUUUCAGGCACGACUGGCUCCAUGGUGAAGUAUCCUGGCCAGGAGAGCCUGUACACGAAUGUAGGCCUGACGUCCACAACUGAUGUAGCAACCUCUGUGAGAGGGGACACUUGGUGCCCCAUGGCCUUGGCCUAAACCCUGGCAUUAUGGGAUGGGAGCCAUUUGCUGUCCUUCAGCUCUCUUGAACGUCCCUUGGCGUUGUUCUUCAAAUCUCUCAGGCCGUGGGGUGUCAUCUGUUUUUGGUCUGCGUUAGUGAUCUCGAGCAGAGGCUUGAUCUGUUCCAAAUACUCCCGUUUUGGUUUCACCUGUGGAAUACUGGACCUACAUGACGGAGAUGAUCUUUUCUACUCUGCACUAGAGGACGAUACCUGAGAGCGUCUGCUUUAACGUGCCUUCGGUACUUUCAGAGCACACCCUGCACCGCGAAUGUUGCUCGGAAGAGUAAGUGGAUCAAAAAUGAUUUCUUGAAAGUAGUAUUGUACAUAUUGAUGCUAACGGAUACUUCGCCCAUCUGGAAAGACAAAGUUGUUAUUCGGAUUUUGGCGAUCUGAAGAGAAAAUGUUUGAUCUUUCUGAAACUGGAAUUGAGGAUGAAGUGUCAAGGUGUUCUUUCGAGGAAUGCAAACAUAUUUAUGAAGCUACCGUUCAAUGUUCAAAUAAUGCAUAUAUUUGUCAAUAAAGAUCAUUUCAAAUAGUGUAGGAUUGAAGCCUUGCCCUUCCUUUAAAAAUCUUUGGUUUCAAGCAUGAUGUUGUUGCAGUGGAUGUUGCACACCAUCUAUGUGGAAAGAAAAAGAAAAGAAAAAAGGUCUCUUAGAAGACUGGGCUGUUUUGUGAUGGUUUAACAGGGUAUCACAGAUCACAGGAACUCACACGAGACUUGUAGUGUUAUGUUCGACUACACAUUUUCCUAGAGAUCACUAUCAAAUGUAAAUGGUCUAAUCAAAAUUCAUAGUGAAGAAAAUAGUUUUUUUUUUUUUUUGAGAAAUCAGAAUGGCUUAAAUCAUCAGCAAAGCAUAAAUUGAAAUGACCUUUAUAUCUCUGUUAGAACAAACGGCGCUCAGGAUUUCAUUUCUGAUGCAUUUUUUGUUACAACACAAAACUGCAAAAAAAUGAUUUUGGAUGUGAGACUACCUAACAUGUGACACUGAUGCGUGAAUAUCAGUGCAUAUUGCUGUUUAUUUGUUUUAGUUUUUUUUACAAUUAUGCUUUCACGAUUUGUUGAAUGUUUUAGAGAGAGAGAAAUGUGUGCCAGAAUCGUUUCUUGUGAGUUACAAUCUAAACCACAAACAUGAUGCACAAUGACAGUAAUUAAUGAGCUAUCUAAAGAGUUGAAUUCACUCAUGAAAGAGUCGGUCUCAAGUGGUUUUGGCGUCCAUGAUUUACUGCCUCUGAUCUGUUAAACAGUUACCCAACUACAAGUUCCCCGUGUAAAUAUCUUAUGGCUUUGAAAUGGGGGACUAAAGGAGCACCAGAAGAGCCUUCUUCAAAUGAUUACUCCUUAGAGCAGCAAAGUAUUUCCAUGACCGUCACAUUUUUGGACAAGAUCAUAGAGUGUCAUAGAGAAAAUGUGUGAACAACACGAGAAACAUUUUGCUAUCAUUGUGAUUCUCAGCCUUUAUAACCUCUAGAAUUAUUUAUUUCUGCAAUGUAGUGUGUGUUGUUAGAGGUAUUUGUUUAUUUUAUUUGAAAUAACGUAUUUGUAUUUUUUUUUGUGUGUAUAAUUUCAGUUCCAAUGUAUUUUGAUUUUUGUUAUCUGGGUUAAACAGACUUAUUUGUUAUGGUUUUGUCUUGGGGUAAUUCAAAAUAUGUUGAAUCGCAAGGUGUGUUUUCCUUCUCUUUUUGUAGAUUUUAACAUUUAUUAUGGAAGGUUCUUCAUACUCUUCACAUGAACCACUGGAACCACAUCAUUUGUAAUUAUGAUAAUUUUAUUUAAGAUGAUUUUACUGAUUUUAUUGUCAUCACCAGUCAUGUAGCACAUUUUCUUGGGGGGGGGUAAAAUGUUCUUAAACCAUUGACUGUUUUCCAGUGUAUAGAGGAGUAAGUAUUUCAUUAUUAGAUUUUUAUUUUAUUUAAAUUGUCUCUCAGAUUAGUUUAUUAUCACUGGAACAAUAAAUAAGAGCCAUGACUAAAGUGGUUGUUUUUCCCAUCCCUUAUUUCAGUUGUAAAGGUAUUCAAAUUGUUUUAAUUUAAUCAAGUAUCAAUCAAUAUCGUUAAACAACAAAGUCUAUCUUUGCAUUGAUUUUCUAUGUUUAACACUCAAAGGCCAGUUGUUUGCUCAUGGAUCACAUAUCAUUUUGUUUGUUGGUACACUGAAGCUAAUUUAAAACUUGAAAUUUGUAUUUCAACAAUAGUAACCUUUCACAAAUAUUUGCAUUAUAAUCACAUAAUCACAAAUGAUGACUUAAAAUGGCCGGAUCUGAAUUUGGGUCGAUGAUGAACAUUAUCGAUGUUAAAAUGAAACAUUGCGUGACGUUUCUAGUGAAUCCGAAGACUGCUUAAGCCUGAGCCCUGCCCAGAUGAGUUACUGGUUUAUGUGAACUCUUGACAUUUGAAUGUGCUGAGCUUCGCUUCAAAGUUGCACUUUGAUUUACGGCUGAUUGAUGACGUCUCGGCUCCAAUAGUUUGCAGAUCUCUGAUGUAAUGUCUUGUGCUGUUUGUGAUAGACACAGCGUGCUUUGACAGACUGAUACGUCAUGUUCCCAACACAUCUUUUGCUGGAGAUCACUGAAAGGAAUAUAUGUGGAAAAAACUGAGACUCAGAUCCAAUUGCUGUAUUGUUGCUUUUUUUUGUAGUGCAUCCAGUAUAAAAGUUUGUUUCAAA